UUGUGCCAUCCACAUGUCCAUUCUUGGAUUUAUUUGUUCAUCCUCGUAAGUGGGUGUGAAGGAUUAUGUAUAUAUAGACAUCUCAGGGUCUCCCUGUGACUCUGGGAACAGUGGUUGAUGUUCCAGAUGAAUAGUUCAGUCAUAUUACAACAGCCACUUAUAAAGAGGUCUCAACAGAAAAGAAGAACGUCUCCGGCCAACUUCAAGUCUAGGGUCUUCAUCCUUACUCGCACCUCACUCAACUAUUAUGAGCAUCGCAAUGGGAAAGUGCGAAGUCUUCGAGGAUUUGUGGAAGUGCCUCGUAUUAAAUGUGUAGAAAUAGUGACCACAGAUAUCACAAUUGCCUGCAGGAACAAAUACGCCUUUCAGGUUGUCCAUGAUAAUUAUUUUCUAUACAUCUUCGCCCCUGACAAAGAUAGCCGGCAACAGUGGGUCCAGAAUCUAAAAGAAGUGACAAAGAGCAAUGAAUGUCUGGUUCCCAAGUAUCAUCCCAACUUCUGGGUUGAAGGACGGUGGAGAUGCUGCUGGCAGACGGAAAAGAUGGCUGCAGGAUGUACUGAAUAUGACCGAAGUGUUGGCUGGAAACCGCUGCCGCCCAUACCAGUUGACAACAUGAGAACCGGCUGGGCAGUGGCAAUAUAUGAUUAUACGACCAAAAAUACCCAAGAGCUUGCACUCCGUAGAGGGGAAGAAUAUCUACCACUGGACACCUCAGAACGGCAUUGGUGGAACGUACAGGAUAAAAAUGGACAUGUUGGUUAUGUCCCAAGCAGCUAUCUAGCCACACAGAGUGAAGACAGCCUGCUUACCUAUGAGUGGUACAACAGAAACAUUAACAGGAACCAGGCUGAAAAGCUUCUCAUUGAUAUGGGCAAGGAAGGGGCAUUCAUGGUUCGGGAUUCCAGACAGCCUGGGAUGUACACCGUCUCCAUCUUCACCAAAUCAUUAGGGGACGGUGUUCAGAGAGUAAAACAUUAUCAUAUUCGACAAACCAAUGAUACCCCUCCACGCUAUUACUUGGCUGAGAAGAUUGUGUUCUCCAACAUCCCCCAGCUUAUUAACUAUCACCAACACAAUGGUGGGGGUCUGGUGACAAGGUUGAGGCAUCCGGUGUGUUGCUGGAAGGAGACGACCCCCGUAACAGCAGGACUGAGCUACGGAAAAUGGGAAAUUGACCCCACGCAUUUGACUUUUGUUCAAGAGAUCGGCAGUGGCCAAUUUGGUGUAGUCCAACUGGCUACUUGGCAAGGCACGAGAAAAGUGGCGGUAAAGACGGUUCGGGAAGGAAUGAUGUCGGAGGAUGACUUUGUGGAGGAAGCCCAAGUGUUAAUGAAGCUUUCCCAUUCUAAGCUGGUGCAGUUACUGGGAGUUUGUACCCAACAAGCGCCCAUAUUCCUUGUCUUUGAGUUUAUGGAACAUGGCAGCCUGAAUGACUUCCUGCGCAGGAAUCGUGGCACGCUGACACGGAAUACAGCUCUGGGGAUGUGUCAGGAUGUCUGCGAAGGGAUGGAGUAUCUGGAGACCUCUAACUUCAUUCACAGAGACCUGGCUGCUCGAAACUGUCUGGUCGGAGAAUCAUUGGUUGUUAAAGUGUCAGAUUUUGGCAUGACCAGGUUUGUCCUUGAUGACCAAUACUCAAGCUCAACAGGCACUAAAUUUCCUGUGAAAUGGUCGGCUCCAGAGGUUUUUCGAUAUGGACGCUAUAGCAGCAAGUCCGAUGUGUGGUCUUAUGGUGUCCUGGUUUGGGAGGUGUUCAGCGAGGGGAAGACUCCAUUUGAACACCUUAGUAAUUCGGACGCUGUCGAAGAAAUCUCAAAUGGCUUAAGGCUCUUCAGACCCAAACUGGCAUCGGAGAAGGUGUACCAGUUUAUGAACAGCUGCUGGCAGGAAAACCCAGAGCAUCGCCCGUCAUUCUGCCGUCUGAUGAAAGAGAUCAUGGAUAUUGCAGAGAUAGAAGUGUGACCUGGAUAAAGAGAUCUGAAAUCCGCUUUACGUUUAUCUGUGCGUUUCCAUCACUGCAACGUAUAGCAGUGAAAAUCCUGUGCAUCACUGGGUAUACAGUAUUACAUCGUAAUGGCCCAUUCACGCUACAGAAAUCCUGCUUGAAAAUUCCGCUGCAUGAAGAUAAUACUGGUGAGAAUAUGUGGAUUCCGAAUGUUCAUUCUUUUGGUGGAAUUUGGCGCGACUGCAUCGCCAUCAAUGUCCUUGCGGUCCUAGCGCCAAAAUAUCUCCACGCCAAGAUUCCAUAGUGUGAAUGGGCCUUUAUUCUGCCUUCAGAGUUCUGAAUUAAAAAGCUAAGAGCUGCCCGUGUCCAGGUGCUCAAGUCCUGCAGGAAGUCAUGGGAACGGAGUUCCUGCACUUUUUCCACAGCAGGAAUGCAGUUCCCAUUAGCAGGAGUCCUGCAGCCCUUAAAGGGGUACUCCGCCCCCUAGACAUCUUAUCCCCUAUCCAAAGGAUAGGGGAUAAGAUGUCUAAUCGCGGGGGGUCCCGCUGCUCGGGACCCCUGCAAUCUCGGCUGUGGCACCUCAGACAUCCGGUGCAUGGAGUGAACUUCGCUUCAUGCCAAAUGACUG